GUGUCAACCGGCCCGCCCGUCCCCUCCUUCUGGAUUCCCGUUCCUGCUAUUGAGUUAGUGGGGACGUCACAGGGGGCUCAUCGUCGUCGUGCAAACGGCGGCGGUGGGUCCCUGGGGCCCAGAUCGUUUACCGUGAAAAAAUUAGAGUGUUCAAAGCAGGCAGAUCCAAUUUUCUGCCACCGAAUACAUUAGCAUGGGAUAAUGGAAUAGGACCCUGUCCUCCUAUUUUCAGUUGGUUUUGGCAGCGCGAGGACUAGGGUAAUGAUUAAUAGGGAUAGUUGGGGGCAUUAAUAUUUAAUUGUCAGAGGUGAAAUUCUUGGAUUUAUGAAAGAUUAACUUCUGCGAAAGCAUCUGCCAAGGAUGUUUUCAUUAAUCAAGAACGAAAGUUAGGGGAUCGAAGACGAUCAGAUACCGUCGUAGUCUUAACCAUAAACGAUGCCGACCAGCGAUUAGGAGACGUUGAAUACAAAACACCACCAUCGGUGCGGUCGUCCUUGGCGUCGGUCUUUCGGGGCCGGCGCGGGGACGGCUUAGCCCGGUGGCACCGGUGAAUGACUCCCCUAGCAGCUUGUGAGAAAUCAUAAGUCUUUGGGUUCCGGGGGGAGUAUGGUCG
rnacentral:rRNA from 1 species